AAAAAUUGAUUGAUUGUUGGUUGCUUAACGUCCAGUGGCAAAUAUUUCAUGAAUAUUCAGGACGAGAACAAGUUCACAAUAAAUACAAUAGGCAGGUUGAUACAAAAGAGGCCGUCUUGGGAUAAUGGUCGGAGAAAUUUGGACUGCCACCGGAAAAGGAGGGUAUAUUGGAUAGGGACAGAAAUUUUGCCUUGUAACAGGCCACCUACAGACCCCUCAAAGAGUUGUUGCAAGGGUUCUUAACGUGCAAAGAGCGUGGCUCUCUCUUUACACGAGGCAUCGGAUUUAACGUCCCCCUUCUGACCGGACGUGACUGCGAACUUGAUACAUCCCGCACAGCCAAACGGACGCCACACUUCGGCAAGCGUUUUACUGCCGGUCGGGAGAAGACCAAGUGACCAUAUUUCUAUACCCCAGUCACCCUUGGGGUCCGAAAAAUAAAGAGAAACCAAAUAAAGUGAAAAGGUAAUUAAGAAUUUAAUGUGUGAAUUUAAUUGGUGAAGUACAUCUGAGUGAUGUGAUCCCUAAUUCUCUAAUUGGCUCCAUUGUACACUGCGUCUACAUUAGGCAUCUCCUCUUCUUGAUCUUCUGGCAGUUUAGGGCUCAUUCAUCCACACAGCUAUAUUGUGCAGAAUGGCACAAGCCAUGAUAAUGCUACAUGCCUUUUCAAGGGCCAUACGAAUCUAUAAA
rnacentral:lncRNA from 1 species